rnacentral:rRNA from 1 species
UCCCGCAAGGGAUUAGUAGAGUGGCAAACGGGUGAGUAACGCGUGGGUGACAUGCCUUCGAGCGGGGGAUAACGUUUCGAAAGGAACGCUAAUACCGCAUGAUGUCCUGCCUUUGAAGAGGUGGAGACCAAAGCCGGGGAUCGCAAGACCUGGCACUUGAAGAGGGGCCCGCGUCCGAUUAGCUAGUUGGUGGGGUAAUGGCUCACCAAGGCUCCGAUCGGUAUCCGGCCUGAGAGGGCGGACGGACACACUGGGACUGAGACACGGCCCAGACUCCUACGGGAGGCAGCAGUGGGGAAUUGUUCGCAAUGGGCGCAAGCCUGACGACGCAACGCCGCGUGGAGGAUGAAGACCUUCGGGUCGUAAACUCCUUUCGAUCGAGACGAAUGGCCUUCGGGUGAACAAUCCGGAGGAAUGACGGUACCGAGAGAAGAAGCCCCGGCUAACUCCGUGCCAGCAGCCGCGGUAAUACGGGGGGGGCAAGCGUUGUUCGGAAUUACUGGGCGUAAAGGGCUCGUAGGUGGCCAACUAAGUCAGACGUGAAAUCCCUCAGCUUAACUGGGGAACUGCGUCUGAUACUGGAUGGCUUGAGAUUGGGAGAGGGAUGCGGAAUUCCAGGUGUAGCGGUGAAAUGCGUAGAUAUCUGGAGGAACACCGGUGGCGAAGGCGGCAUCCUGGACCAACACUGACACUGAGGAGCGAAAGCCAGGGGAGCAAACGGGAUUAGAUACCCCGGUAGUCCUGGCCCUAAACGAUGAAUGCUUGGUGUGACGGGUAUCGAUCCCUGUCGUGCCGAAGCUAACGCGAUAAGCA